GACGAACGCUGGCGGCGUGCCUAAUACAUGCAAGUAGGACGCAGUUGCGAACGGGUGAGUAACGCGUAGGUCACUGCCUAUUAUUGGGGGAUAACUAUUGGAAACGAUAGCUAAUACCGCAUACUAGUAGAUGGACCUGCGUUGUAUUAGCUAGUAGGUAGGGUAAUGGCCUACCUAGGCGACGAUACAUAGCCGAGCUGGGAGGGUGGACGGCAAAACUGGUACUGAGAGACGGCCCAGACUGCUACGGGAGGCAGGCGUAGGGAAACGUCGGCAAUGGGGGGAACCCUGACCGGGCGACGCCGCGUGGGUGAAGAAUGUUUUCGGAGCGGAAAGCUCUGUUGUUAAGGAAGCGGUACUUAACCAGAAAGGGACGGCUAACUACGUGCCAGCAGCCGCGGUAAUAC
rnacentral:rRNA from 1 species